rnacentral:rRNA from 1 species
GACGAACGCUGGCGGCGUGCUUAACACAUGCAAGUCGAGCGGAGCGGCGAACGGGUGAGUAACGCGUGAGUAACUGCCCCCCUCUCUGGGAUAACAGUUGGAAACGGCUGCUAAUACCGGAUAGUGGGGGAUGACUCGCGGCCUAUAAGCUUGUUGGUGGGGUAGUGGCCUAUCAAGGCGACGACGGGUAGCCGGCCUGAGAGGGCGACCGGCCACAUGGGGCUGAGGUACGGCCCAAACUCGUACGGGGGGCAGCGGUGGGGAAUAGUGCACAAUGGGGGAAGCCCUGAGGCCGAAACGCCGCGGGCGGGAUGUCGGCCUUCGGGUUGUAAACCGCUUUCAGCCAUGACGCGGUAGUGGCAGAAGAAGCACCGGCUAACUACGUGCCAGCCGCCGCGGUAAUUC